ACUGAAACAUCUAAGUACCCCGAGGAAAAGAAAUCAACCGAGAUUCCCCCAGUAGCGGCGAGCGAACGGGGAGCAGCCCAGAGCCUGAAUCAGUGUGUGUGUUAGUGGAAGCGUCUGGAAAGGCGCGCGAUACAGGGUGACAGCCCCGUACACAAAAAUGCACAUGCUGUGAGCUCGAUGAGUAGGGCGGGACACGUGGUAUCCUGUCUGAAUAUGGGGGGACCAUCCUCCAAGGCUAAAUACUCCUGACUGACCGAUAGUGAACCAGUACCGUGAGGGAAAGGCGAAAAGAACCCCGGCGAGGGGAGUGAAAAAGAACCUGAAACCGUG
rnacentral:rRNA from 1 species